rnacentral:rRNA from 1 species
CUUGCUCUCGGGUGACGAGCGGCGGACGGGUGAGUAAUGUCUGGGAAACUGCCUGAUGGAGGGGGAUAACUACUGGAAACGGUAGCUAAUACCGCAUAAUGUCGCAAGACCAAAGUGGGGGACCUUCGGGCCUCAUGCCAUCAGAUGUGCCCAGAUGGGAUUAGCUAGUAGGUGGGGUAACGGCUCACCUAGGCGACGAUCCCUAGCUGGUCUGAGAGGAUGACCAGCCACACUGGAACUGAGACACGGUCCAGACUCCUACGGGAGGCAGCAGUGGGGAAUAUUGCACAAUGGGCGCAAGCCUGAUGCAGCCAUGCCGCGUGUGUGAAGAAGGCCUUCGGGUUGUAAAGCACUUUCAGCGGGGAGGAAGGCGUUAAGGUUAAUAACCUUGGCGAUUGACGUUACCCGCAGAAGAAGCACCGGCUAACUCCGUGCCAGCAGCCGCGGUAAUACGGAGGGUGCAAGCGUUAAUCGGAAUUACUGGGCGUAAAGCGCACGCAGGCGGUCUGUCAAGUCGGAUGUGAAAUCCCCGGGCUCAACCUGGGAACUGCAUUCGAAACUGGCAGGCUAGAGUCUUUGUAGAGGGGGGUAGAAUUCCGGGUGUAGCGGUGAAAUGCGUAGAGAUCUGGGAGGAAUACCGGUGGCGAAGGCGGCCCCCUGGACAAAGACUGACGCUCAGGUGCGAAAGCGUGGGGGAGCAAACAGGAUUAGAUACCCUGGUAGUCCACGCCGUAAACGAUGUCGAUUUGGAGGUUGUGCCCAUGAGGCGUGGCUUCCGGAGCUAACGCGUUAAAUCGACCGCCUGGGGAGUACGGCCGCAAGGUUAAAACUCAAAUGAAUUGACGGGGGCCCGCACAAGCGGUGGAGCAUGUGGUUUAAUUCGAUGCAACGCGAAGAACCUAACCUGGUCUUGACAUCCACAGAACUUAGCAGAGAUGCCUUGGUGCCUUCGGGAACUGUGAGACAGGUGCUGCAUGGCUGUCGUCAGCUCGUGUUGUGAAAUGUUGGGUUAAGUCCCGCAACGAGCGCAACCCUUAUCCUUUGUUGCCAGCGGUUCGGCCGGGAACUCAAAGGAGACUGCCAGUGAUAAACUGGAGGAAGGUGGGGAUGACGUCAAGUCAUCAUGGCCCUUACGACCAGGGCUACACACGUGCUACAAUGGCAUAUACAAAGAGAAGCGACCUCGCGAGAGCAAGCGGACCUCAUAAAGUA